rnacentral:rRNA from 1 species
UACGUAGGGGGCAAGCGUUGUCCGGAUUUAUUGGGCGUAAAGAGCGUGUAGGCGGUUCGGUAGGUCCGUUGUGAAAACUCGAGGCUCAACCUCGAGACGCCGAUGGAAACCCCCGAACUAGAGUCCGGAAGAGGAGAGUGGAAUUCCUGGUGUAGCGGUGAAAUGCGCAGAUAUCAGGAAGAACACGCGUGGCUAAGGCGGCUCUCUAGUACGGUACUGACGCUGAGACGCGAAAGCGUGGGGAGCGAACAGG